AUUGAGGAUAAGCCUUGGCAGCAUUCAGAAACGCAUCUCUCGUGUAGAAGCUCUUGCCGGCACAACUCGCGGCUGCCUGAUUCUUUAUGCCGUCGAAGAACUGGGGAGUCACAAUGCUAGCAACAUUUUGACACAUUACUUUGGUGGGAAAAGCUAGGGCAAGAAUGCCCACAAGAGCAAAGGUUACAAUAUUUUUUUUCAUGUUAAGUGGAGCCAUUUUGUUUAGGAGUAGAGAAAUGUGAGUGAUAUGCAAAUGUUGGUGAUGGGAGUACGGUAUUUAUAGAGUGCAAAAUGGACGUUAUGUCUGCCACGUGCUGGUGAAUUGUGAUAAAUUUGAACAUAGAGUUUAUCUCUUGUUAGGUUUUUCUAGACUUCGCAUUUGUUGUGGCUUGAAAUCUAGCUGGCUUGACUUGUCAAAAGAACUAGAAAUAAAAUAAAAGAAAAUAAAUCAAAUCUUUCGAGUGGGUUGUUGAUUGACCGCCAUCUAUAUUAAACUUUUUCAAAUUAAAUUUGAAUAAUAAUUGUACAAAAUAUAAUUUUAAAUAACUAAUUUUCAAUAAAUUUUGAGGAAAUUUGUUUUUUAAUGUAACUGAAUUAAUUGUAGAUUGGAAAAUCUUAAACUCAUACUUGUUUCGAGCUUUCAGAUAUUGAAACUCAGACAUGUUUAUUUUUAAUUAUCUACCUACUUUGUUUAUAUAUAUACACAUGCACUAGACUUUACACAAAUUUUAACAAAAAAAUAUGUGGUUUGUACUCAUUUGAGUGAUUUAAAUUUUUUUAGGUUUGUUAAUUAAUAACUAAUAACAUGGUAUCAUAUUUUCUCAGCUAAAUACUUAUUUGGUCUGUGUAUUUUUCAGUUAAGUAUCCAUUUAAUCUCUUUAUUUUAGAAAAUAUUUCAAGACAUCUUUACUGGUAAAUAUAUUACAUUCCUACCCUGAUCUUUUCUUUGAUUUUAGAAUAAUACCCUUACAAUAAUAUUGUUGGAGAUUCAAUGAAAAGAAAAAAAAAAUGAAUUUAUCAAAUUAGUCUUAAAAGUAAGAUAAAAAUUACUCUAUCUAUUUUUUGUUAUCUUAAUUUUAGGAUUAAUUUGNNNNNNNNNNNNNNNNNNNNNNNNNNNNNNNNNNNNNNNNNNNNNNNNNNNNNNNNNNNNNNNNNNNNNNNNNNNNNNNNNNNNNNNNNNNNNNNNNNNNUUAGCUUAAACAUUGCUUUAAAUUAGUUGGUUUUAAUUUAUCAUAAAUGGUUACUAGUUGUUGUAGAAUGAUAUUUAUUUCUAAUUUUCUAAUAUAUUGGUUAAUAUGCUAUUUAUUUUUUUAGAUAAAAAAUUAAUGCCAAAAAUAUUAUUGUUAGUAUUGUUGUAAAAGGUAAGAAAAAAAUAAGAGGAAGAUCGUAACAUAUUUAAAAUAGGAUGUCUUUACAUUUUUUUUUAAAAUAUGUGGACAAAAAAGAUAUUUAAAUUAAAAUAUAGGAUAUAUACCCUAAUUUCUUUAUAACUUAAUUUCCUUUCUUUCCUUAAUUCUUUUUCCUUUUUUUAGUGAUAUCAGUUAUCACAAUGUAAAAAUUAAUAAUCAGUCCAAACAUCUGAGUUUUUUUUAAUAUUUUCCGUUUAUAAAUACUGAAAUAUUUAUGUAUAUCUUCGAAACUGAAAAGUCAAGCCUUCCACUAACUCCCGUUCUCAAUUAGCGGCGUAAAUUUGGGUCCAUGAAAUGAAAGCAAUUCUUCUUGUACCCUUUUCUCCACACUAGUUCUUCUCGUUCUCUUCUCGGCAUUGAUAUUCUGGUGUGUCACUAAUCAAUUUAAUAUCUCAAAAUAUUUUGGUGACGUCCUAAUGUAUACAAACUUUCAUUCUCAAGUACAAGGGUUUCAUCUGUUUUAAUAAAAUCAAUAUUUAAUAUAUUAUAAAAUCAUGUAAUUUAAUAAUAUGUUUGUACUAAUUUUAUUAAAUCAUAUGACUCAAUAACGUGGCAUAUGAAAUAAACAAUAAGCUGUCCACAUGAAAAAAAAAAGUUUAUAUAUAUACUUAUAAAAUUAAUUAGAAAAUAUCCUUAUUAAAAAUCUAACCGAUCAAAGGAGCUUCUAAAACUUUCACGUAGGAUAAGUUGUCUUUUUCCAUACAAAUACUUAAAAACUUUUUUCUGAUACAAACCCCAACAUAUGAUUAUGGCCAUAGAAAAUUUGAAAAUUUUGUCCCAAAAAAAAACUUGAAAGAAAAGCUUAAAACUAAUAACGAAAAAUAGGAUAAAUUAAUCAAACACAUGAUGACCAAUUUUGCAUUAAUCUAUUUGUGAUAGCCAAUUUUAAUCAAAAUAAAUAUAUCUGCAAUCGGAAAAAUAACUUUUUUUUUUUUACUUCGAUAUUAGAAACAGGCAGCCACUGAUUGGGACCAUCAAGUAUACAAGUUUACAACGGUACGAAACUUGUUUCGAUUGCAUUCGGCUGCCCGAAAAACGGGAAAAAAAGAAAACAGAUUUUCUUUGUAAUGUCGGUAGCAUGUUCUUUUGACAAGUUUAAUAAAAGAUUCAAAGAAAAUCUAUGACUUUUUACUCAAAACUUUCCACCUGGGGAGAUGAAAACUGCACAGUUAAAGCAUCAAACACAUUGUUCAUGAAUCAUGAUCAAAGGAAAAAAAAUUUCUGAGCUGGAUUGAAAACAUCAAAAUCAGUAUUCAUAAAUCAUGAUAAGAAGAUAAAAGUUCUCUUUGUCGGAUAAGAAACAUUAGCUUUUCAGAAUUUUUUUUUUUUUUAAAAUGAACUUAGAAGGAUUCCAAGUGUCCCUUUUACUAAUUUAUAAAUAGGGUAAUUUGCCCUUAUUUGUAUGAAAAGCCAACCACAUCCUCCUGACAAAAAAAAAAAAAAGGGGCAAAAAGCCAACCUCAUCCGUCGAAUCAGCCAGUAAUUUUUUACACGUGUACAAUUUUUGGGAUUUCUUAACACAUGCUGUUUGGAAAGCAUCUCGUAUCGCCCAAAAUAAAAAGUGCAUAAUUUUCUUUUUUUCAAAGGUUCUUUUAUAAAUGAUAUCGGUCAAUGGAAUUAUUGUUUUGCUCUAAUUUUUUAUUAGGCUCUUCUCUUGGGAUUUUUGUCCUUCAUUCUAAGCCUUCUGACAAAUCACAAUUGGGGCUACUUUGAAUGAUAAAGCUUGCUGGACUUAUGACUAGGCUCCUUUUGGUAUGUCAUUUCAUUUGAAUAUGUAAUUUCUUUAAUUACGUUUGAAAAGGAAAAAUAUGACAAGAAAGAGGAGUACACUAUAAUAGUUGUCUGAGUCUGAUAAUGGACUGUACAGUGCUUACCUUGAUAGAACUCAGUGCACAAAGUAGUUGAGCAUACAUAACAAAAUCCCCAAACUUUACUCCGUUGCCAAACAUGUCUAAGUUAAAUUUACUCUAUUAUAAAAAAGUCUUGGGCGUUGGGUGUUUUAGGAGCACCACAUCAUUCACAUUCACAUUAUAAUAUUUGAGCAAAAGAAAAUUGCCUAAAAUAUGUAUGAUUAUCUGCAGGCUUUAAGUUUUAUCCAAUUAAAGAAUUGAAUGUUCAUCAUUUAUCAAAUUAAUAACUAGUUUUUAAAGAAAUUAUGGCUCUAAAGUAUUUCCAGUUUUCUUUAAUUUCAUAGACGAGUCAAUUAACAACAAAAAUAAUCCAUUAAUUUAUGGCAGACGAGAACAAUAUUUCAAUUGCAAAUCAACCUGAAAGUUGUUUACAAACAUAUCAUAAUCUAUAGGAACAAAUCAGUUAUAUAUAUAUAUAUAUAUAUCUUAUGGCAAAAAAAAAACAUACAAAUUAACUUUAUUCUUGAUUUUUUUCUACACGACAAUAGUUGUUUACAAUUGUAUGAUUCUGGCUGAUGGAGGUAUAAACCACAAAUCAUGUGAUUAGUAAUUAGUUCUUUCAACUAUUGUUCAAGCAAUAAAGAGUCCCAUUUCAUGGCCAAGAUUGCACGUCAACCAGAAAAAGACAUGAUCUUAAAUGAUAUAACAAAAUAAAUAUGUAGUAAUUUCACUUACAAACUAAGGGUAUUUUUUACUUUCCUCCAUUGAUUAUUCAAAAAAACUUCCGCUGACCUGAAAACAUUUUUUACCAUAACAGUUGUGUGGCUGUUUAGUGGACCUUGAGGCGUUCCAUAGGACAUCCACUGAUUCCAAAUAAAAAACGCACCCUUUGUUGAGUCCGGCCCAAUACAUCUUUUGUCAUCUACAAUAAAUUAUUUUACAAUUUAUGUUUAUGAUUUUUGGACUUAAUAACAGCGGUUCAUUGACAAUCUACUUUAACAGUAAGGGAACCUAUUUUUAGGUUGCAAAACUUGCAGCAAUAAAUUAGCUUCCCCAAAAGAGAAAUAAAGAUUUCACAUUCUAAUUAAAUAUCAAGGAAAUUAAUUAAUUGUGCUCCAUUAUUCCAACUUCCGAGAUCAGUACAUCAAAAUUGAACAUUAAUAAUUAAAUUGUUCAAAACUUGUUUCGAUAAGCUAGCUAGUUCCCAAAUGGAAGUAUAAGAUUUCACUUCCUUAGAUAGACACGAUAAUCUUUCACUAUAAAUUUAAAUUAAACCUUAUUAAAGGUCUUGAAUUCAUUGUACGCACAUAGUUUGAACCUCAUAUAGACCACCAACGUAACCAUGAAGAAAACUAUCUUCUAUAAAAGAUUUUCCCACCAAAGCUGAACAAGUAUCAGAUUUAGGGUUAGGAUUAGGAUUUGUCAACAUUUAGAAAUUUGGAUUUAGAUUCAGGAUUUGGCAACAUUCGAAUUUCGGGUUAGGUUUUGGUAGUUUUCCUGUUGUAUUUUAAUGGCUAUUAACAAGAAAUUAAUCAACUCACACAACUUUGAUCAAUUAAAGACAGAAUGGAAUCAAGAACAGAAAAUGAUUCAGUCAAACAAGAACCUAGAAAACUAUUCACAGUGAACAAGCUUCCAAGUUUCAAAGGAAAAAUGAACAAGAUCUCAUUACUCAAAUGCUUUACAAUCAGAUCAAUUGUUUUGAGGACACUUCAAGGAUUCCAAAGAAUCUAGAAUCACCUUUUUUAGCUAAGAAACAAAAGAGAAAUCACACACAAAGCAAUGCACAGCAGGCCCUUUCAUAUUUUGGAAAUUUUCUAGAAACACCUUAACAACCUUUAACCUUUUUGCCACAUUAGCGCAGAAUUUACAAAUUGACUCCUCAUUUGAAGUCGAUUUGCACAUUACCCAACAACUUUCAUUCGAUUACAUUUUAGUCCAAAAACAUAACUCAUGUCCUCACACUCUCCACCUUGCAGAUCUGAUUCAGCAUUACUCUUGACCAUAAGUGCUUUAAAAAAAAAACCUUCAACCACGCAACUUAACAACUAGAACCAUUUCCAAUACCAAUCAAGUCUACACAAAUCUUAAAUUUGGCUGUUGGAAUUACUUCUGUUAACAUAUCAGUAGGGUUGAUAUCUGUAUAUAUUUUUGUUACUACAACAAACCCUUUUGCGACCUCAUCUCUGAUAAAGUGCAACUUCAUAUCAAUGUGUUUGGUUCUCCCACGAUAAAUUUCAUUUUUUAUAAGCUGAAUCGCACUCUAAUUAUCACAAAAGAUCUAAAUUGUCUUUUGUUUCAACCAAAAUUCAUUCAGUAGCCUUCUCGGCCACAAUGAUUCUUUUACUGCCUCUAUUGCAGCAAAAAUUCAGCCUCAGUAGAUAACAAAGCUACUAUGUGUUGUAAAGUAAGUUUCCAACUUAUGAGACAAUUUUCUAGCAUGAACAGGUAUCCAGAGAUAGAAUUUCUCCUAUCUAAGUCACCUGCAAAAUUAGAGUCCACAUAGCCUCUAACUUCAUAGACUUCUUGCUUGGAUUUGCCAUACACCAGACCAUGAUCUAAAGUACGUUUCAAGUACCUCAUAACCCAUUUCAUAGCAUCCUAAUAAAGCUUAUCAGGAUUACUCAUAAACCUGCUUACUACACUUACUGCAUAAGCUAUGUCUGCUCUGGUGCAAGCCAUUGCAUACAUUAAGCUUCCUACAGCCAGUAAAUAUAGAAUUUCUUAGCAUAUGAUAUUGGAGACAUAUCAUUAGAGAGUUUAAAUUGAGCUCCCAAAAGUGUCAUUACAGGUUUUGAAUCCAUCAUAAUAUACUUUUCUAACUCCUUACUGACAUAUCUUGAUUGGCUUAGAAACAAAGUACCAACAACUCUAUCUCUAAGAAUAUCCAUAACAAGGAUCAUCUUAGCACUGCCAAGAUCUUUCAUUUCAAAUUCCCCCUUUAAUAAAUUCUUAAGUUUCUCAAUAUCACUAGAAUUUUUACCAACAAUGAGUAUAUCAUCAACAUACAACAAAAGAUACAUAGCUCCACCUGAGCUUAUGUUCCUAUGAUAGACAUGUUGUACAAAUUUUAUUGAACUCGCAAGUGCACGAAUCUAUUUUAGAAUAGAUCAAUGGUGACAAGUGUCGAUCCCACGAGGAGGUGGAUUUUAAUUGUGUGUAGAAUUAAUUUUUCUAAAUGGGUGGUUGGAAUUAUGGUAAAGAUGAUUUGGAAUAUCUUAAAAUUUAAAUUGAAAUGGCAGAAUUAAAUUAAAAUGGAAACUAUAAUAAUUGAAGCGCUUGGGUAUCUAGAUCCGCAUCAACAUGCACCAUGGGCUAAAUAUUUCUUAUUAAUGCCAAUUAAAUCAUGAGGGGGGAAUCCACACCUCAUGAACCACACUCUAAUCAAUAUGGUGCUAAGAGCUUAUCGUACCAAAUAAUAAUAACUUUGUACUAGGGAGCCGGUAAAAUCAGUGCGGUAUCUAGACAAGAUUAUUAUUAUUUGUCGACGAAAAGUCAAAACAUCCACAAAAAUUAGAGGUGAAGAGAAAAUAAAUUUACCAAAUAAAGCCCAUGACAUAUGUUGAGACUUCACCUUCAACCCAAGCUUGAAAGAAAAUUAACUACUCAUAAUUGAACUAGGAGCAAAAUAAGAAUUUAUUAAAAUACGUAGAAAAUACAAGAUGGAGAAGGAAUUAUAGAAAAUGGAACUUAAAAUUGAAUUCAGAGAUAUCAAAAUAGGGGGGAGAGGUCCUAUUUUUAUAGAUACAUUGAGUAAACAAUGGCUAUCGAAUUAAAAACAGUUUGAACGCUCAGGAUUGCGCCACGUCAUCAGUCAACAGUACGCAGUUUGACCACGCGGUUUGAACAGUGAUACGGUUUGACCACACGGUUUGAACAGUCAACUGGUUUGAAUAGUGACACGGUUUGGUUGAAAAUAAUCCUGUGUAUAUGCAUGUACUGUACGCGCGAUUUUUAGUCCACUGAUAUGCUGCCGCGUCACCAAUCAACAGUGCAUAAGAAUUUUCUCCAAUGGAAUCGUGUCACCUCGUCAGUCAAUGCCACAUCAUCGGUCAAUGCCACGUCAUUGAUCCGUCUAUGUGAACAGUGUCGUGAACAGUAACGUAAACAAUACCGUACAUGUGAAUAAUAUCGUACAUGUGAACAAUGAUAUUUUUCCUUUUAUGCUCCUCCUAAGGUUUUCGACUGUCCUGAGUUCAAAAGUGAUGUCCGUUUUGCCGUCUGAUCUCUAGUUCAUUGUGAAAUGACCAUGAUGUCCCUAAAAUACAUAAAAUACUUAAUUAAAAUAAAACAUAUAUAAUUGAAUCACAAGAAACUUAAAAUACAUAAAAGUAAGGGUGUUAAUAAGACUUGAAAUGUAAAAUGACGAUUUUCUCCUUUAUAAAUAUAUAUUUUCUAACACUCAACAAGAUACAAUUAUCAUAUGUGCUCUUGUAAUAGCCAUUAGAGAUCAUAAACUGGUCAAAUCUCUUACAUUGCCUAGGAGACCCUUUCAAGCCAUAUAGAGACUUAUGCAGAAGACAUACAUAAUCCUUAUGUCCCUUUACUUAAAAACCUUCAGGCUGUGACAUUAAUAUCUUUUCUUCAAGAUUAUCAUGUAAGAAGGCAGUCUUUAUAUCCAUUUGUUCAAGCUCUACAUGAAGCAAAGUCACCAUAACAAGUAAGGUUCUAAUUGAUUUGUGUUUUACAGCAUGUGAGAAGAUUUCAUUAAAAUAUACCCCUCAUUUUGAAACCCCUUGCCACAAGUCUUGCCAUAUAUCUUGAGUCUUUAACACAUGGAAUACCCUCAUUCUUCUUGAAUAUCCAUUUGCAGCUGACAAUUUUCCUAUUUCUUGGAUUAGAAACCAAUGUCCAUGUCUGAUUCCUUACCAGAGAAUCCAUCUCUUCCCUUAUUGCUUUAAUCUAGUUAUUGUUGUACUUAGUGCUUUUGCGUAGCUGCUAGGCUUUUCAAUUGAAACAUCCUCUACACUCGUCAAUGCAUAUGCAACUAUGUCUGUAUAUGCAUACCUUUUUGGGGGUAUGAUAUGUCUUCUUUAUAUGUCCAUAUCUAAUUGAUAUUAUUGCAGAUCAGUAACUUGUGGUGCUGCAUCUUCAAUUACUACUGUAUCUUGAGAAUAAUCUUCAACAGCUUCUGGUUGUACUUCAUCUUUAUGAGCACUAGACAACUCUACCUCAAUAUUAACACCUUGAUUAAUGACUCCAGUAGUCAGUGUCUUAUUUACAUUAAUAUCAGUAUCAGAAGUUACUUGAUCAGACUUAUUGAUUACAACAACUUCAUUAAACAGAAUAAAUAAUUAAACACUUAUUAGCUUUUCCACACCAAACUCUGUAGCCUUUAACCCCAUCUAUAUAACGAACAAAUGCUCAUUUGACAGCUUGUGCAUCAAGCUUCCCUUGUCUAAUAUGAACAUACGUAGGAUGCCCAAAUACCCUGAGAUAUUUAUAGCUUGCAAGUUUUCCAGACUAGACUUCUUAUGGAGUUUUGAACCCAAUGGCUGAUGAUGGACUUCUAUUAAUGAGAUAACAGGCUGUUGAGAUAGCUUCAACCCAAAAACUCCUUGGUAAUUAAUAAUUGAUCAAUAAGCAUCUUGUCUUAUAAACAAGGGUUCUGUUCAUCUUUUCAACUAAGCCAUUUUGCUGAGGGGUGAGCCUUACCGUCUUAUGCCUCUUAAUCCCUCAUUCUUGAUAAAAAAAAAACUUUAAACUCUUUAUUACAGAAUUCAAGUUCAUUGUCUGUCCUAAGGCAUUUCACUUUGAAACCAUAUUGAGCCUCCACCAAAGCCUUCAAGACUUUAAACUUUUCAAAGACUUGAUCUUUGGUUUUCAAAUAUAUAUACCCAAACCUUUCUGGAGUAAUCAUUUAUCACAGAUAUAAAGUACUUUCCACCACUUAGAGAAGAGACCUGACCAGGCGCUCAAAGAUCAGCAUGCACAUAGUCUAAAGGUUGUUUAGACACAUGCAUCCCUUUAGUAAAUUUGACAUGUGUGCUUUGCUAAAAAUACAGUUUUCACAUAAGUCUAACUCAAUUAUUUUGUCACCACAGAGCAACCCUUGAAUACUUAAUUUUUGCAUUCCCCUAAUACUCAUAUGGUCAGGUCUAAGAUGUCAUAACAUAGUUCUAUCAAGCUCAGAAAUAGUUGUCAUUAUAGUUGACACAAGCACUGAUGAUCCUUCUAAUAUAUAAAGACCAUUUUUCUUAAUCCCUUUCAUUACCAUCUCAGUCCUUUUCAUAAUCUUUAAACCACUAUUUUCAAAUUUGAAGAAGUAUCAUGUACUAUCCAGCAUGCCUAAAGAGAUUAAGUUCCUCUUUAGCCUAGGUGUAUGUCUCACAUCACAUAGAGUUAUAACAAUCCCAUCAAACAUCUCUAUUUUGAUAAACCCUAUACCAAAAAUCUUACACACAUUGUUGUUUCCCAUCAAAACUCUACCACUAUCCACAUAUUCAUACUCAUAAAAAAAACUUCUAUCAGGACACAAAUGAAAGGAACAAUCUAAAUCAAGGACCUAAUAACCUCUAAUGUUGUUGUUUAAGGCUACCAACAAGUCAGCACUAUGGUAUCCAUCAUCAGAUAAAUCAUCUGAGGCCACUGCUGCAUCUCAUAUUCUCUCUUUAUCAUAUUUCUUUUUCUCAGAACAAUCUCUAAUGUAAUGGCCUUGUUUCUUACAGUAAAAACACUUCCUCUUCUUCAUUUUUUUUCUUUUGCAGAUCUAUCAAAAUUGUACGUGAAAAGUUCUCAUUUAUCCUUUAAUAAUGCAUAUUUUUUGUCACUGUUUAAAAGUUGGAACAAAAUGAGUAAUAAAUUUCAUUGGAACUCAAGUUGUAAAAAUAAAUUAUAAGAUAGAUCGAGCAUCAUUCUCCCUAAUUUUAAUUAAUAGAUCAAACUUUUUCUUCUGGAUAAUUAUUUCGAGGAAUAGUAUCCUUAGCUCGUUUACGUAGGCAACAAGUUAGCAUAACCUACAUAUGAAACAAUAUCUUCUAAAGACUUGAAAAUUCUCGUAAGCAAGAAGUUAGCAUAACCUACAUAUAAAACAAUAUCUUUUAAAGACUUGAAAAGUCUAGUCAAUUUUCUAAACUUUCAUUCUUGAACGAUGUCUAUUUUCUUAUAGGUAAACUCAAGGGACAUUUUCUUUAAAAAAAGUUGAUAAAACAAAUAUGAAAUUGAAUUAAAUUCUCAUAAUUAGAACCGAAGCAGAAAAAAAAUGACGUUAUUUUAUAUUUAAGUAAUGCUACAUAGCAUGAUCUAAGAGAAUAUAAGAAAUUAAAUAAAAAAUAUUAAAUUUUGUAAAAAAAUUAAAAAAUUUUAUAAAUAUUUAAAGGACCAAACUAAAUCGAAAAUCUUAGUUCUAAUUCUAUUCCUAUUGAUUUUUCAAGAAUUCAGUACUGAACCAAACUAAAGUUUUGGAUUCGGCCCAAUACCUAAUCAAAUCGUCUCAUUGCCCACCCUUAAGUAAAUUAUUGUUUAUAUAUAGCUUGUUGCAAAAUAAUAAUCAUAUAGGAUUCAAUUACUUUGAAACAAUUGCAACAUGUGUCAAAUUUUUUCAUUAUGAUACUUCAGCUGUAUACAUGAAAAAGUAGUUUCAACGGUAGGAUGUUGUUAUUUGGUUAUUAACAUUAUACCCUCUAAAACAUAUUUCAGAACUUAAAAACAAUCCGGCCCAAAUUCCAAAUCUCUCUCUUCUUCUCAAAAUCAUCUUCAUCUCAUCUCACCUUCAUUUCAUCUUGUUCCCUAAUUGUCGCCCAAAUUCUCGUCUUGUUCUUGUUCAUUUACAACUGAAUUUGAUUUAGCAUUAUUAUUUGUGGAACUUUCAAAUUAAAUUGACCAAAAGUGACUGUUCCUUUGGGGGCGGACCCAGGCCUCGAAAAUUUUUGCUUAAACCCCUUAAUUUUUUAUAAUUUUUCAUAAAACAAUAUUUAUUUUACUUUUAAAUAUGUCCCCAAUUCAACCUUUUUUUUUUCUUCAAUUAGAGUUAGAGAUUAUAUAUUUAUUGAAUAAAUUGAAAUCAUCAGAAGUUUAAAGACUUAGCACUGCUUUACCUUAUUAUAAAAAAUAUUAUAAUUUGGUCUAAUUGAAAAAAAAAAUGUCAAUAGAUUAUAAUAUUAUCACUAUGAGUAAUUUUAAUCUUAUAAUAAGAGAAUCUUUUACUUUAGGGAAAAAGAUACCUACAUCCUCAAGGUUUAGAGAAAUGGUUAUGUAGAUCUAAAAUUUUUAAUAAAAGAUACCAAGACCCACUUUUGAUUAUAAUACCAUUUAGCACUAUUAACUCAAAAUUUUUUUGUAAGGUUGUCCUACUAUCUUAGUAUGUUAAAUUUGUUGGAAAAAAUCCAAUACUAUUGGGUUAUGUGACAGAAUAAUAAGUCUCUAAAUGGUAUGAUUGAGGUGGUGCGAUGAUCCGACACAAAUAUUUCUUGUCAAACAAAGGGUUCAAAGCCAUAAAAUUAGUAGAGUAAAUGCAAUAAAAUAAUGUUAUUCAUAAAGCUGAAGUUUUAUGCUCCUCCAAAAUUGAUUUAGCUUACUGGCAACCCCGAUAAAAGCUGCCCGGUGCCGGCUAUCAGCCAUCUUUAUAAAUGUGUUGAUUUAUUUAAUAAAUUGAAAAUACAUAAGAAAGUAAGGAGGCCAAAUAAAAUUUAGUAUUGCAAAAGAUUGAAAAAAAGGCGCCACUGUGAUACUACGGUACGAAAGUUGUCGCGCAGUUUCCUUUGUCCUAAUCUCUAACACGAUUCUUCUCAUAAUUCCAUGGAAACAUUGUCUUGUUCUGAACCAAUUAUUGUUGUCAAAUACUUUGUUACAUUCUUUUUAUGAUACACAUAUUAUCAAAAUAUUUGUUACAUUUAUUAAGUUAUUAAUUCAUCAUAUUUUUUAAGUCCUAUGUUACAAAUAUUAUGUUAUGAAAAAGCUGGGUUACUUAAAGUUGGUGUCCAAUCCGACACUCAAUCAAUCACUAAAGCUAGUAUUGCUCUUUGUAUAAAGUUAGUUUCUUUUUUCACUGACAAACAUCUAUCAUAUUGCUUUUCCUAAAAAAGCCAAAGCUAAAUCAAGGUGGAGUUUCUCCAAGAAGCAUAAUUAAUCACAAACCAUAUAAGCAAUAAAAUAUGGUCGGCAACACCCUUUUAUUUCUUCAAUUUAUUUUGUUUUAGGUACAUGAAACCACCCUAUUUUAUAAAAUUACACCACAUUAGGAACACACUUUUAUUUCUUCAAUUUAUUUUGUUUUCGAUACAUGAAACCACCCUAUAUUAUAAAAUUACGCCACAUUAUUUCCACAAGCCAGUGAAGUAUCGGCGAAAACAUCUUAACAAUAGAGAUUUGGGCCAGGAGCAACACCAAAUUUGUUGCAAUAAUCCUUAUAAUAUCCGUUGCGAGCUUGAACCUGAGCAGGUUGCUUGCCACCGCAUUCAAUGGCUCCAUUGAUUCUCUGAAUUGUUGCACCAAAACCUUGGUUCAUAACUGGGUGCACAUAGGUCAUCCAAAACCACAAGGCAGUCUUAAAUGACACAACGGGGUCCCUGGCCACCGUUUCCGGAGCUCUUAAUCCGUCAAACCCGAUAGCUUUUCCGGCAGCUCCGUAGUCGCCAUUUCCGGUGAGUUGGAUCGGUCCACGGCCGUAGUAGAACUUUCCGGGAACACAUGGGUACUGUUGGUUUUGUUCAUCACAGUACCUGUUGUACUUGUUAAUCUCUUCAACGUAGCACAAAUCUGAAAAAGCAAGACAUUUUUUUUUAAUUAAUUCUCUCUAGGCUUAAUCAAGAUAAUCGGCUAGUGGCAAAUCAUAUCAAUUAAAAGUUGGAGUAUUCAAUUAGUUUUAUUGAAAACUUUUAUGUGUUCAUCAAACUGAGAACAUUAUUUAAUAUAUAAAAAGCAUGUAAUUAAAAAGAGUUGUCUAAAUAUACAUGCUAAUUAAGAAAGGCUCUUGCCAACAAGAAAUUAAAAAGCAUAGUAUAUUAUUGUAGAGGGUGAGGGUGCAUAGAUUCUCUAUAAUCGUAUCGAUAUCCUGUUGAUGUAUCAGAAAAAAAUAAAUUUCUUUUUAAAACAAACAUGGGUUGGAAAUAAUUAAUUUCGCAAGAAUUAUAUAUAUUUCGCAAACAGCAGGAAGGUUAUGUUCGUUCCAACCUCAGAUAUAUAUUUCUAGUAGUGAACAAAUAUGGGCCCUUCGAUUUGAAAUUCGACUUCAAUCUCUCUCUUUUUUUUGUGGGAGGGGGGGGGGGGGGGGGGGGGGGGAGGGACAACAGAUAAAUUAAAUUAUAAAAAAACGGAUAUAGUUUUAAAAAAUUUCAAAAACAGUUUUGAAAAUAAUAAAACAAAGAAAAGUCGUUUUCUUCUCUAUGCAUGGAUUGCUCAUAAAUACUCAUGCAAAAAGAAAUAAAAUGGAGAGAACUUACGUCCAGUUUCAUGAGUGACGUGUGCAAAAAAUGCAGCAAUCUCACGCUUCGAAGCUGUAGGAGAGCCGCUACCAAAUUGAGGAUAGGCCUUGGCAGCAUUCAGAAAUGCAUCUCUCGUGUAGAAGCGCCAGCCGGCGCAUCUCGCGGCUGCCUGAUUCUUUAUGCUGUCGAAGAACUGGGGAGUCACAAUGUUAGCAACAUUUUGACACAUUACAUUGGUGGCAAAAGCUAGGGCAAGAAUGCCCACAAGAGCAAAGGUUACAAUAUUUUUUCUCAUAAUAAGUGGAGCCAUUUUGAGGG
rnacentral:lncRNA from 1 species